UCUCAGCUGGGCCUCACGGGGGAGUGAUUAAGGUUUGCAAAGACCUUCAGUGAGCUGGAUAGAUUUCACCUGGGGGAGAAGCCCUGCUAACCAGAGGGGAAAGAGGAGAAAACACCUAAGAGACGCCGGGACGGGACAGAAGACAGUGGCGGAAGAGGAGCGGCGUCUCCACAAAGGACACCACACCCCUGUCCCCUCCUGCCACUCUCAGCCGUCUGGAUGGCAGACGAGGCUGGAGUCAAGCUGCAGAGGACAGAGGACGCCCUGCAGACACUUGCAGUUUCUGCCUGAAAAACAAAGACCUGGAGAGGUUUCAUGGUUUGUAAGUUUCUCUAUGGUUUAAACAACAGGUUUCUAGGGGCCUUCCUCCUCCCCCGGUCUUUAUUGAACAAGAGUUAAUUAAAAUAAACAUGAUGACAAAAGUAAA